GAGACCUCAGGUCAGGCGGGAUUACCCGCUGAGUUUAAGCA
rnacentral:rRNA from 1 species